rnacentral:lncRNA from 1 species
GAGGAAGAAAGGAAAAGUUUUUAUUCGUGCUUGAUUCUCUUUGCACUGCUGCUGGAGUGGUGGUGGCAUGGAGUAAGAGAUCCCCAGGGAGACAUUCAGGAAUCGAUGAUCAAGGUCAUGUGGACCAGGAGCCCUUCCUUAUCAGGAGAUUCAUCUUGCAGAUUACACCUUGUGUUUCAGAAGAGAGACUGGAUUGCAAGAGUUCAAGUAAAAACAUCUUUAGAUAGAAGAAUUGACUGAAAAAAUGGAAAUACUACACGUCUAGCAGUGCUUUCUUAUAUUAGGAAAAUCUUGAGAGGUUGGGAGAAAAUGGACAAUGGAGUUUCACUAAAGUAUAAUAUUCCAGAAGCAAGCGUAUCUUUUUUUGUCUUUAACUCUGAAGAAGUAGAGUAUAUGAAGCAAAGCGCUUUAUUUUUGGAUGGCUGGUCCUGCUGCAUAAUCUCAGAAAUAUUCUCAAGUCCUCUUCUCUUUCUUCUCUUCCUGACAAACUUCUCCUUGAGCUUCAAAAUUCAGAGCAUAUGUUUACCAUUCCUCAGGAAACCUGUCUUGACUCUCCCAUGUAAAGGUUUGCAAAUAUGA